rnacentral:rRNA from 1 species
CUGCCCCUAAGACGAGGAUAACAGUUGGAAACGACUGCUAAGACUGGAUAGGAGACAAGAGGGCAUCUUCUUGUUUUUAAAAAACCUAGCAAUAGGUAUGCUUAGGGAGGAGCUUGCGUCACAUUAGUUAGUUGGUGGGGUCAAGGCCUACCAAGACUAUGAUGUGUAGCCGGGCUGAGAGGUUGAACGGCCACAUUGGGACUGAGACACGGCCCAAACUCCUACGGGAGGCAGCAGUAGGGAAUUUUCGGCAAUGGAGGAAACUCUGACCGAGCAACGCCGCGUGAACGAUGAAGUAUUUCGGUACGUAAAGUUCUUUUAUUAAGGAAGAAUAAAUGAUGGAAAAAUCAUUCUGACGGUACCUAAUGAAUAAGCCCCGGCUAACUAUGUGCCAGCAGCCGCGGUAAUACAUAGGGGGCAAGCGUUAUCCGGAAUUAUUGGGCGUAAAGGGUGCGUAGGCGGUUAAAUAAGUUUAUGGUCUAAGUGCAAUGCUCAACAUUGUGAUGCUAUAAAAACUGUUUAGCUAGAGUAAGAUAGAGGCAAGUGGAAUUCCAUGUGUAGUGGUAAAAUGCGUAAAUAUAUGGAGGAACACCAGUAGCGAAGGCGGCUUGCUGGGUCUUUACUGACGCUGAGGCACGAAAGCGUGGGGAGCAAACAGGAUUAGAUACCCUGGUAGUCCACGCCGUAAACGAUGAGUACUAAACGUUGGGUAAAACCAGUGUUGAAGUUAACACAUUAAGUACUCCGCCUGAGUAGUACGUACGCAAGUAUGAAACUUAAAGGAAUUGACGGGACUCCGCACAAGCGGUGGAUCAUGUUGUUUAAUUCGAAGGUACCCGAAAAACCUCACCAGGUCUUGACAUGCUUCUGCAAAGCUGUAGAAACACAGUGGAGGUUAUCAGUUGCACAGGUGGUGCAUGGUUGUCGUCAGCUCGUGUCGUGAGAUGUUGGGUUAAGUCCCGCAACGAGCGCAACCCUUAUUGUUAGUUACCAGCACGUAAUGGUGGGGACUUUAGCAAGACUGCCAGUGAUAAAUUGGAGGAAGGUGGGGACGACGUCAAAUCAUCAUGCCCCUUAUGACCUGGGCUACAAACGUGAUACAAUGGCUGUUACAAAGGGUAGCUGAAGCGCAAGUUUUUGGCGAAUCUCAAAAAAACAGUCUCAGUUCGGAUUGAAGUCUGCAACUCGACUUCAUGAAGUUGGAAUCGCUAGUAAUCGCGAAUCAGCAUGUCGCGGUGAAUACGUUCUCGGGGUUUGUACACACCGCCCGUCAAACCACGAAAGUUGGUAAUACCCAAAGCCGGUGGCCUAACUUCGCAAGAAGAGGGAACCGUCUAAGGUAGGGUCGAUGAUUGGGGUUAAGUCGUAACAAGGUAUCCCUACCGGAAGGUGGGGAUGGAUCACCUCCUUUCU